UUACAAUGCACGAAAGUGUGAUAAGGGAAUCCUAAGUGCUCAGGCAUUGCCUGGGCUUUUGCCAUAUGUAAAUAGUAUGGCGAAUAAGUAGUGGGCAAGACUGGUGCCAGCCGCCGCGGUAACACCAGCGCUACAAGUGGCAAUCGCGUUUAUUGGGCCUAAAGCGUCCGUAGCAGGUCUUGUAAAUUUCUUGUGAAACUGCCAAGCUCAACUUGGCAAUGUGCAGGGAACACUGCAAGACUUGAGACCGGGAAGGGUCGGAGGUAUUCCUGAGGGAGCGGUAAAAUGCUAUAAUCUCAGGAGGACCACCGGUGGCGAAGGCGUCCGACUAGAACGGAUCUGACUGUGAGGGACGAAAGCCAGGGGAGCAAACCGG
rnacentral:rRNA from 1 species